rnacentral:rRNA from 1 species
GGGGGAAUAUUGGACAAUGGGCGCAAGCCUGAUCCAGCAAUGCCGCGUGGGUGAAGAAGGUCUUCGGAUUGUAAAGCCCUUUCGGCGGGGACGAUGAUGACGGUACCCGCAGAAGAAGCCCCGGCUAACUUUGUGCCAGCAGCCGCGGUAAUACGAAGGGGGCUAGCGUUGCUCGGAAUUACUGGGCGUAAAGGGCGCGUAGGCGGCGCUGCAAGUCAGGCGUGAAAUUCCUGGGCUCAACCUGGGGGCUGCGCUUGAGACUGUGGGGCUUGAGGGCAGGAGAGGCUCGCGGAAUUCCCAGUGUAGAGGUGAAAUUCGUAGAUAUUGGGAAGAACACCGGUGGCGAAGGCGGCGAGCUGGCCUGUGACUGACGCUGAGGCGCGACAGCGUGGGGAGCAAACAGGAUUAGAUACCCUGGUAGUCCACGCCGUAAACGAUGUGCGCUGGAUGUUGGGCGGCCUAGCCGUUCAGUGUCGUAGCCAACGCGGUAAGCGCACCGCCUGGGGAGUAC